GAGAGUGUGAACCUGGGUGUCGUUACUUCUGUUGACCGCAAACGGACCGCAAAAGGACUGCAAAAAGACUGUAAAAGGAUUGCAAAGGAACCACAAACCAUCUGAAUGAGGGGAAAGGUCAUCGAGUGAGAGGUCUUCAGCGGGGAAUCAGCUCAUGAGACGUCACAGCCUCUCUUCUUUGUGCUCCGCCUUCUUUCUGCGCAUGCAGGGAUGGGAACAAACAGCCCAAAUAAUUAGUUCCUGGGGGGUGCAUUAGUGCCUGCGCCUUGUCAUGGUAAAGCAUUGUGGAGUGUGUUUGUACCUAAUGAAAGGAAGGUAAGCAGCUCCUCCUGCACACUCAGCACUCUAAUCACCCUCCACAUGGACAUUUUCUGCAAUUGACCAAAG